rnacentral:rRNA from 1 species
CGGCGGACGGGUGAGUAACACGUGGAUAACCUACCUAUAAGACUGGGAUAACUUCGGGAAACCGGAGCUAAUACCGGAUAAUAUAUUGAACCGCAUGGUUCAAUAGUGAAAGACGGUUUUGCUGUCACUUAUAGAUGGAUCCGCGCCGCAUUAGCUAGUUGGUAAGGUAACGGCUUACCAAGGCAACGAUGCGUAGCCGACCUGAGAGGGUGAUCGGCCACACUGGAACUGAGACACGGUCCAGACUCCUACGGGAGGCAGCAGCA